rnacentral:rRNA from 1 species
CAUUACUGAGUUUACGCUCUAUAACCCUUUGUGAACAUACCUAUAACUGUUGCUUCGGCGGGUAGGGUCUCCGUGACCCUCCCGGCCUCCCGCCCCCGGGCGGGUCGGCGCCCGCCGGAGGAUAACCAAACUCUGAUUUAACGACGUUUCUUCUGAGUGGUACAAGCAAAUAAUCAAAACUUUUAACAACGGAUCUCUUGGUUCUGGCAUCGAUGAAGAACGCAGCGAAAUGCGAUAAGUAAUGUGAAUUGCAGAAUUCAGUGAAUCAUCGAAUCUUUGAACGCACAUUGCGCCCGCCAGCAUUCUGGCGGGCAUGCCUGUUCGAGCGUCAUUUCAACCCUCAAGCUCUGCUUGGUGUUGGGGCCCUACAGCUGAUGUAGGCCCUCAAAGGUAGUGGCGGACCCUCCCGGAGCCUCCUUUGCGUAGUAACUUUACGUCUCGCACUGGGAUCCGGAGGGACUCUUGCCGUAAAACCCCCAAUUUUCCAAAGGUUGACCUCGGAUCAGGUAGGAAUACCCGCUGAACUUAAGCAUAUCAA